GUGCCAGCCGCCGCGGUAAUACGUAGGGUCCGAGCGUUGUCCGGAGUUACUGGGCGUAAAGCGCGCGCAGGCGGCGACGCCAGCCCGGCGUGAAAGCCCCCGGCUCAACCGGGGAGGGUCGUCGGGGACGACGUCGCUUGAGGACGGCAGGGGCCGGUGGAAUGCCCGGUGUAGUGGUGAAAUGCGUAGAGAUCGGGCAGAACACCCGUGGCGAAGGCGGCCGGCUGGGCCGAUCCUGACGCUGAGGCGCGAAGGCGUGGGGAGCGAACGGGAUUAGAAACCCGCGUAGUCC
rnacentral:rRNA from 1 species